GGUUAAGCGACUAAGCGUACACGGUGGAUGCCCUGGCAGUCAGAGGCGAUGAAGGACGUGCUAAUCUGCGAUAAGCGUCGGUAAGGUGAUAUGAACCGUUAUAACCGGCGAUUUCCGAAUGGGGAAACCCAGUGUGAUUCGUCACACUAUCAUUAACUGAAUCCAUAGGUUAAUGAGGCGAACCGGGGGAACUGAAACAUCUAAGUACCCCGAGGAAAAGAAAUCAACCGAGAUUCCCCCAGUAGCGGCGAGCGAACGGGGAGCAGCCCAGAGCCUGAAUCAGUGUGUGUGUUAGUGGAAGCGUCUGGAAAGGCGCGCGAUACAGGGUGACAGCCCCGUACACAAAAAUGCACAUAUUGUGAGCUCGAUGAGUAGGGCGGGACACGUGGUAUCCUGUCUGAAUAUGGGGGGCCCAUCCUCCAAGGCUAAAUACUCCUGACUGACCGAUAGUGAACCAGUACCGUGAGGGAAAGGCGAAAAGAACCCCGGCGAGGGGAGUGAAAAAGAACCUGAAACCGUGUACGUACAAGCAGUGGGAGCACGCUUAGGCGUGUGACUGCGUACCUUUUGUAUAAUGGGUCAGCGACUUAUAUUCUGUAGCAAGGUUAACCGAAUAGGGGAGCCGAAGGGAAACCGAGUCUUAACUGGGCGUUAAGUUGCAGGGUAUAGACCCGAAACCCGGUGAUCUAGCCAUGGGCAGGUUGAAGGUUGGGUAACACUAACUGGAGGACCGAACCGACUAAUGUUGAAAAAUUAGCGGAUGACUUGUGGCUGGGGGUGAAAGGCCAAUCAAACCGGGAGAUAGCUGGUUCUCCCCGAAAGCUAUUUAGGUAGCGCCUCGUGAAUUCAUCUCCGGGGGUAGAGCACUGUUUCGGCAAGGGGGUCAUCCCGACUUACCAACCCGAUGCAAACUGCGAAUACCGGAGAAUGUUAUCACGGGAGACACACGGCGGGUGCUAACGUCCGUCGUGAAGAGGGAAACAACCCAGACCGCCAGCUAAGGUCCCAAAGUCA
rnacentral:rRNA from 1 species